AUGUGACACCCGGACACUGACGAGGGCGGGGAGUGAUCGCCGGUGCAAGAAGCAUGGUGUAGGGGGCACGGACAAGGAGCGGCUCCUGGCAGGCUUCGAGUGGAAGGGGCACAUGGACGAAUCGAACAUACACCGGAAUGAGAGGGAUCUGGAGACUGUAUAGGUAUGGGACUAUACAGUUGAAGGAUAGCUUAAAGGAAUUGAUUUGGCUACCCAUAUCACCAAAAUGCAUUUACUUUUCGGAAGCCUAACCCAUAAGAACUCCAUGGUUAAGCGUGCUUAGCCUGGAGAAAUUCUGGGAUGGGUGACCUUCCGGGAAGUUUUCCCGGAAAGUGUGCGAGUGAGGACAAAACACACUGGAAAGUCUCGUGGUGAUGUGUGGGGGCAGUCAACAGUCCCUAUAAGUUGCCGGG
rnacentral:lncRNA from 1 species